rnacentral:rRNA from 1 species
AUUGAACGCUGGCGGCAGGCCUAACACAUGCAAGUCGAACGAGUGGCGGACGGGUGAGUAAUGUCUGGGAAACUGCCUGAUGGAGGGGGAUCACUACUGGAAACGGUAGCUAAUACCGCAUACCCUCGGAUGUGCCCAGAUGGGAUUAGCUAGUGGGUGGGGUAACGGCUCACCUAGGCAACGAUCCCUCGCUGGUCUGAGAGGAUGACCAGCAACACUGGAACUGAGAAACGGGCCAGACUCCGACGGGAGGCAGCAGUGGGGAAUAUUGCACAAUGGGCGCAAGCCUGAUGCAGCCAUGCCGCGUGUAUGAAGAAGGCCUUCGGGUGGUAAAGUACUUUCAGCGGGGAGGCGUUACCCGCAGAAGAAGCACCGGCUAACUCCGUGCCAGCAGCCGCGGUAAUUC